CCAAAAAGUUUAUAAUAUUUUUUUAAAUUAUUUUUUAAAAGUGAACAUAUUUAUUUUUUGAAUAAAAAUGCUUAGAAAUUUUAUAUUAAUUAUUAUCCUUUGUUCUAUAGUUGGGUAUCAUUCUUUCUAUCAUGUUAAUAUAAGCAGUAAAAUCAUUACAUAUCUUCAUUAUCGAAAUAUUUAAUAUUCCCGAAUUAAGUAUUAUUAGAAUAAGCAUGUUUAGGAGAAAAUUCUAUAUAUGAUUGUCCAACUAAAAAACCAUGCACUUUACUAUGUAAGAUAGGUUUCGUUCUAGAUAAUGACGGUUGUGAGUGCAAAUGAUGUGCCGCAAGAUUGCCCAACUAAAAAACCAUGCGCUUUACUAUGUAAGAUAGGUUUCGUUCUAGAUAAUGACGGUUGUGAGUGCAAAUGCGUGCCACAAGUAUGCCCGGAUUUGCCUUGCUUUAAACUCAUCAAAUGCGCCAAUGGACAAGUAUUGGAUGCGAAUGGUUGCCCUACCUGUACCUGCAAGCUUUACUAAUUCAAAUCCUUUUUUAAACCCCUUUUUUUAAAUAUUUUCUCAAUGUUACCUAAACUUAUAGACAUACACCGAAAUAACGUUAUCAUUUUACCAACAAAACUAUAUUUAUAAAUAUAUUAUAUUUUUUUAAAUUUGUAAAUGAUACAUAUAAUUUAUUAUUUUUUUUUUUUAAAUAAUCACGAAUAAAUAGUCAUUUUUUUAAAAAAAAAUAAAGUGUUUAAUAGUCUGAUAAUUUCAAAUCUUUGAUUAGCUAUAAUAUAAUAAGUUUUAAUUGGAAAGAAAUCUCCGACUCCUGUGUUAAUAAUAGCUCCAUCACAAAUAAAACAACACAUCAUCCCCAAUAGGCGGCAAUAAAGCAAUCGAAUAUUUCAAAACAAAAUUUAUCCGCAAUUUCUACCUUUUACAUAAAAUUCUUCAAGUCCUUCCUUCCCAUCAAGCUUUCUUCCUUCUCAAAAACUUUUUAUUUAUCCCAAAAAUCCAACAUGCCUUCCGCUCUGCCCUACUUUUCUUAAUCCCGGAAAUUCUCAUCCAAAUAGAAUUAACAAUCAAAGACUCUUUAGAAGGCAUCCUCAAUAUAAAAUUCAGCCUUAAUUCUGGGAGGCAGGCCUCCUUACCUUCGAAAUUUAGGGAUCUUGGCCUAAGAUCACCCACGUCACUCAGCCUUGCUACCUUUUUAGCCUCAGAUUCAAGCUGCCGCUUAAAUAUUCUAUCACUUAACAAUAGCCCCAUAGACCCCUACCUUCCUCACGCCCUAACAAUCUGGAAAGAUAAUUCCCUCUCCGCUCCAAUCCCUGCAUCGCGAAAUCAACAUGACUGGGAUCUUCCCUUAAUACGCCACUCCGUUGAAUAUCUAAUAUCGAGUGCUGCUUCUAAGGGAUCCCCAUCAAUUCUUUCACAUUUAUUCUCCUAUUUCAGUUGAUGAAUCCUUAACUGUUGAUCAUCUCUCUCUCCCACAACUGCAAGUUCCACAACUUUUGCCUUCCCUAUCGGGCUAUGAAUGUUAGAAGCUUUGCCCAACUCAAACUUAAGACUCCAACAAACGAAGAAUUACGCAUAGCCAUAGGUCUCCGGCUUGAUUGUAAAAUACUGACUAACUCCGCAUUACAUUAUGUUCCCAACCCGUUUUGAUUGUUUCGGACAUCAUCCUUUUCAUUGUCGAUUCUCUAAAGGUAAAAAUUCUCGACACAGUGUAGUUAACGGCACCAUUCUCUGUGCUUUACGCUCAGCUCAAAUUCCCGUAACCCUUGAACCCUGUGGCCUCUUAACUGAGAAUAGUAUACGGCCAGAUGGGCUGACCUUAACACCUUGGAGUAAUGGAACUUCAUUAGCAUGGGAUUAUACUCGCAUCGACCGAUUUGCUCCCUCGUUUAGUAACAACUCAUUCGUGCUAGCGGAAAACUCUAAAAUUAAUAAAUACACUUCCCUAACCAAUUGCAAUCUCAUACCAAUCGUAUCCGACACAAUCAUGUUUUUUGGCAAUCAUGCCCUAACCUUCUUCAAAUCCCUUGGUAAAAAAAAUUCGCGCCAUCAGUGGUGACCCACAGGAAGGCUUCUAUCUUAGACAGCGCCUAUCUAUUGAUAUAUGCAGAUCUACCUGUAUUGCCAUCCACGGCUCCCUUUUUUGACCUCCCACCCAACAUACAAUUUAAUAUACUAAUUUUAUUUUAUACAGUUUUUAUAUAGAUUUUAUUUUACAAAUAGUUUACAUGAUAUUUUUAAUAUAUAUUUUUAAAUUACGUAUAUAUGUUUUACUUUUAACGUUUAAUUUGACCAAUAAAUAAAA